rnacentral:rRNA from 2 species
AAGGAUCAUUACACAAUAUUACGGGGGGCCGGACCCCAAAACUGCUUGCAGCUUUGGGCCUGCCCUGUCUGAUAUUCUACCCAUGUCUUUUGCGUACUUUUCGUUUCCUUGGUGGGCUUGCCUGCCAAUAGGACAACCAAUUAAACCUUUUUGUAAUUGCAAUCAGCGUCUGAAAAAACUUUAAUAGUUACAACUUUCAACAACGGAUCUCUUGGUUCUGGCAUCGAUGAAGAACGCAGCGAAAUGCGAUAAGUAGUGUGAAUUGCAGAAUUCAGUGAAUCAUCGAAUCUUUGAACGCACAUUGCGCCCCUUGGUAUUCCAUGGGGCAUGCCUGUUCGAGCGUCAUUUGUACCCUCAAGCUCUGCUUGGUGUUGGGUGUUUGUCCCGCCUUUGGUGCGUGGACUCGCCUCAAAAUAAUUGGCAGCCGGCAUAUUGGCCUUGGAGCGCAGCACAUUUUGCGCUUCUAGUCAAUGAUUGUUGGCGUCCAGCAAGUACAAAUCUCAACUUUUGACCUCGGAUCAGGUAGGGAUACCCGCUGAACUUAA